rnacentral:rRNA from 1 species
GUAGUUAGCCGUGGCUUAUUCAUGAGGUACCGUCACUUCCUUCGUCCCUCAUAAAAGAAGUUUACAACCCGAAGGCCUUCUUCCUUCACGCGGCGUUGCUGGGUCAGGCUUUCGCCCAUUGCCCAAUAUUCCCCACUGCUGCCUCCCGUAGGAGUCUGGACCGUGUCUCAGUUCCAGUGUGGCCGAUCAGCCUCUCAGCUCGGCUACCCAUCGCGGACUAGGUGGGCCGUUACCCCGCCUACUAUCUAAUGGGACGCGAGCCCCUCCUUCUGCGGAUUGCUCCUUUGACCUCUCUGCCAUGCGACAGUGUGGUCUUAUGCGGUAUUAGCAACAAUUUCUGUUGUUAUCCCCCUCAAAGGACAGGUUGCUCACGCGUUACUCACCCGUUCGCCACUAAGUUACAGACCGAAGUCCGUAACUCCGUUCGACUUGCAUGUGUUAGGCACGCCGCCAGCGUUCGUCCUGAGCCAGUGAUACAACUCUGACUAGAGGCGGCGUCGACGACGGACGAC